UCCCUGGCGGUCCAGUGGUUAGGUCUCUGGGCUUCCAUCGCAGGUGGCACAGGUUCGAUCCCUGGUCAGGGAA
rnacentral:tRNA from 1 species